rnacentral:lncRNA from 1 species
GCCCAGGCCACAGAGGAGGCAUUGAUGGCAAAAGAGGCGCCCAGAGGCUGCUGCAGCUGGGGUAACGUGGGCAUUACUGGGCUGGCAGGAGAAGAAGAAUGAUCCUCGGGCUCCAGGGCCCACGUCUGAGCAUCUGGGGUCAGCGAGGGAACCCCAGGCAUCCUUGCCUUGAGAGGCUUCCACGUGGCAGGCAGCAAAUAAACAUUAGAGUGGCCAGUGGCCAACUCUGCCCCCCCGGAAGCCUUUCGCUGAUGGCCACAUGAGCUGCCCACUCCAGGGACCACCUAGCCAGGGUGCUUUCAGAACAGGCAACUGCUUCAGAGCAAGCCAGACCCCAUUCACCUGUCCCUGAGCCCGGGGAGACAGAUGUGUGCCAAGAGGCACCCACACAGACACAGGCACUCAAACACACCUGCACACACAAACGAGUACAAACACACGUGUGCACACACACUGACACAUUCCUACGCAGCCAGAUAUGCAUACACCUACAUAUGCAUGCACACAUACAGACACAAAUGCACCCAUAGACACAUCUGCGGACACGUGCACCCAAGACCCACUCACAUAACGCAUACCCUCACAGACACAUAGGUACACUUGCACACACACAACAUACUUGCACACACAAGGACCCACCAGUGCCCAACCCUGCCAGGCCUCAGCGCCGGGAGGAGGGACUGCUAAUCUAGGCUCCCCAGCUGCCCCUGCCUUCCUCCCGGAGCCCCCAGGCCGGCAGGGGGCGCCCGAGGCCCCUUCCGUCCGGGCCCAGCCCUGGCGGGAGGGAGCGCUCGCGGGUGCCACCCACCCUCCGCCCUCCCAAGCUAGGUCCCCUUUGUUCCCCCACCCGGAAAGAGGCCGCCGCGCCGGGGAAGCACCCAGCCACAGAGUCCUCCAGGUGCCGAUCCUGCGCUUUCGUCUUGGUCCCGGAGAUGACCGAGUCCAGCACACGGACCGCCACGACCACAGGGAGGGAGAGCCAGCUCAUCAUCGCCCACUGCCGUGUCCAGCUCUUCUGGCCCCAAGGAGCCUCCAGUGAGGACUUUGAUUCCUAAAGAACAGAAGCCUGGGGGCCUCCCUCUCCUCUCACCCUGAAACCUGGAAUCCUGGAGCUGUGCUAGGCAGAGAUUAUAUACAACGGAGUCAUUUAAGACCUGCCUCUGCUGCUAAGUUCUGGGCCUUGGGUGAGUGCGUGACCCUUCUGAGCCUCAGUUUUCCCAUCUGUAAAAUGGGCUUCCAUUUUUUACAAUGACAUCUGUAAAAUGUCAUUGUAAAAAAUGACAUUCUCUACCUUGCAGGUGGGUGUGAGGAUACACAACUCGGUGGAGACCUGGUGUGGGGCCUGGCGCACAGUGAGUGGAAGCUGGCUCCUGACCCUGUGGUGAUUCCUGGGUGCUGACCCCUUUCCUGACUGAGCCCCUGGACAAGGUUUGGACCCCAGCAGAGAACCCCUCAGUACGUGCUCACUAAACCCUGGGACCUGCCCAGGAUGGGGCAGCCUGGGGACGCUGCACCUGUGCCAUCAGCAAACUGCGUGUGUCAGGGAGA